ACAAUACAAAACAUUCUAUUUAAGGCCUCUGACGUCAAGAUUCAGUUAAACAACAAUUAUAACUAAACAAUUUGAGGAAAUGUUAGUUUCCAUUAACAUUAAAUUAGGUUACUGAAUUGGCAAACACCUUCCUAUUAACAUUACCCAUUUUACCCCAAUAACUAAAGAAAUUAGCACUUGCAGGUCAAAAACUUUAUUCAAGAGAUGCAAAAAUAACAUUGAUACAGUGACUGUCAAAAAUUACAGCACUGAUCAUACUGUGACAUCUUGGUUCAAAACAGCACACUUAGAAAUAUUCAACGUUCUUUACUUCAACUGAAUGAAACUGAAAAUACCAUUUCACACGACCCAUAUGGGAUAUUUAGACUGUAUAACUGUUCAUGCUACAUCUCUUCACUAGUAAAAGAAAGAAAAAAUACAAAGAGAAAUUUAAAAAUGCUGCCAAACAGACAAACAGAGAACUUGUACAGAGCAAAAGGAAAAACAAACAACAACAACAAAAACGGCUCGUCCUCAUGGCAGUUGCAGAGUAUAUAAAAAUGAACCCUGCGAUCUGCUCCUGGAAUUGAGCUUCAAAAAUGCAGCAGAACAAGUGUGAGAUUUAAAUGUCCUCUCACCUAGAGCUGAUCACCUCACAUGCAUAACAGUGAGCUUUCCUUGCAGGAGCAGUUUUGUCUUAGUUGUGAGCUUUUCUUGAGAGCUGAGUUGCAUCCAACUCCAUUACCACCCAUUGAAUCACCUCAAAAGUGUAGCAGAGUUGUGAUGGGUAACUCAUAUUGAAGGAAUAAAAAAGGUCCAAACAGCAUGGCUACUGCAAAGGUCACGUUAUCCAGAUCUUGAAGAACUACUAUACCCUCGAUGAUGAUGCCAACAUCAGAAAAGUCAUUGCCUGGCGCAUCUCUGGAGACAGAUGUUCAUUGUGGUUUUCUCAAUCUGUGCAGUGGCCUCAGUCAAGUCCUGGUUAAACACAAAACAUUUCUUUAAGAUUCCCUUUUAAACUCAUCUCUUUUGAAUCUACCAGUUCUAAUGUUAGAGUAAUUUAAACCAUAGUAAAUAGCUAUAGCCAAAGAGUUGCCUGCCAUGCUGCCAUUCAUGGUCUAACAGAGUUUCUAAGAGAGGGUGAAAAACAUAAUAAUUUCAAAUGCUUUACAUUAGUUUUUGUUAGAAAGACACCGGCCCAUCAGAAAUCCAGGUUAUGUCACUCAGAAGAUGUUAGAAUUUAGACUUUCAGCCCCACAAUUUGGUUAGCUGUUGGUCAGUUGGUCUUUUUUUUUUUUUUUUUUUCAAACAAAAGCUAAUGUAAAUAUUGGGGGGAUUUUUCUUUGUUCACUAGAAUGACAAAUUUAAAGUUUUUUCACACUGAUGUGACCCCUAAUACAGGGGUAGGGAUGGGGCCUCAAGGGCCGGCGGCCGAGUUCACUACUAGGCCUCAUGUGAACUUCAAAUUAUUAAAGAGGACUACUGGUCCUAACCAGUCCAAUGAGGAUCAAGUGGAUAACUAAAUGCAUUUUUAAAUGUUGCAAAGCCACAAUCUACUCAUAAAACACUCACCAUGAACUCCUGCACCAAGAUGUUGCAAUUGUCUUUCACACAGAUGCAGAGCACUUUGAUGAGACUCCCUUUGAGCAUUAAUGUCAUCCUAAAGUAUUAUAACAAAGAAAACAGAGAUUUGUGAACUUUUCAGUAGCACAGAAGAAAAUGAUCCCAGACAAAAACUUGACUUUUUAAACCAGUCAACAUGCAACACCAGCAUCUAGAAAGCAAUAUCA
ensembl:lncRNA